GGAUGUCACCUCCAGGCGCUUUUGAGACUGCGGCAGGCACCGGGCACCAGGCACCUGCGGAUUGGCCUCCCCAGACCGGGCUCAGGAACCUCCAGCGCUCCGCGGUGCGGGCGUGAACCCGGGAGGCGGAGCUUGCAGUGAGCCGAGAUCGCGCCACUGCACUCCAGCCUGGGGGACAGAGCGAGACUACGCCUCAGAAAAAAAAAAUUUUGCCUUCACUAUAUGCCUAAGUAAUUUAUCUAUUAGAGCUCAGAGUCGUGGGGCCCACACCGCCAGCUGA
rnacentral:lncRNA from 10 species